rnacentral:rRNA from 1 species
GUAGGGUGCGAGCGUUGCCCGGAUUUAUUGGGCGUAAAGGGCGCGCAGGCGGCUCGGCACGUCCGUUGUGAAAUCGCCCGGCUCAACUGGGCGGGGUCAGCGGAUACGGCCGAGCUGGAGCAAGCUAGGGGGCAAUGGAAUUCCCGGUGUAGUGGUGGAAUGCGUAGAUAUCGGGAGGAACACCAGUGGCGAAGGCGGUUGCCUGGAGCUUUGCUGACGCUGAGGCGCGAAAGCGUGGGGAGCGAUCCGGAUUAGAUACCCGGGUAGUCCACGCCGUAAACGAUGCGGACUAGGUGUCGGGGGUAUCGACCCCCUCGGCGCCGCAGCUAACGCAUUAAGUCCGCCGCCUGGGGACUACGGCCGCAAGGCUAAA